rnacentral:rRNA from 1 species
CCUACGGGUGGCUGCAGUGGGGAAUAUUGGACAAUGGGCGAAAGCCUGAUCCAGCAAUGCCGCGUGAGUGAUGAAGGCCCUAGGGUUGUAAAGCUCUUUUACCCGGGAUGAUAAUGACAGUACCGGGAGAAUAAGCUCCGGCUAACUCCGUGCCAGCAGCCGCGGUAAUACGGAGGGAGCUAGCGUUGUUCGGAAUUACUGGGCGUAAAGCGCGCGUAGGCGGUUUUUUAAGUCAGAGGUGAAAGCCCGGGGCUCAACCCCGGAAUUGCCUUUGAAACUGGAAAACUUGAAUCUUGGAGAGGUCAGUGGAAUUCCGAGUGUAGAGGUGAAAUUCGUAGAUAUUCGGAAGAACACCAGUGGCGAAGGCGACUGACUGGACAAGUAUUGACGCUGAGGUGCGAAAGCGUGGGGAGCAAACAGGAUUAGAUACCCGAGUAGUC